CCUACGGGAGGCAGCAGUGAGGAAUAUUGGUCAAUGGGCGGGAGCCUGAACCAGCCAAGUCGCGUGAGGGAAGACGGUCCUAUGGAUUGUAAACCUCUUUAGGCGGGGAGCAAUGCCGGGCACGCGUGCCCGGAGGGAGAGUACCCGCAGAAUAAGCAUCGACUAACGCCGUGCCAGCAGCCGCGGUAAGACGGGGGAUGCGAGCGUUAUCCGGAUUUAUGGGGUUAAAAGGGUGCGUGGGCGGAUUUUUAAGUCAGCGGUAAAAUGUCCGGGCUCAACCCGGGCCGGCCGUUGAAACUGGGGAUCUUGAGUGGGCGAGAAGUAUGCGGAAUGCGUGGUGUAGCGGUGAAAUGCAUAGAUAUCACGCAGAACUCCGAUUGCGAAGGCAGCAUACCGGCGCCCGACUGACGCUGAGGCACGAAAGCGUGGGGAUCGAACAGGAUUAGAUACCCGGGUAGUC
rnacentral:rRNA from 1 species